rnacentral:rRNA from 1 species
AGGACGAACGCUGGCGGCGUGCUUAACACAUGCAAGUCGAGCGGUAAGGCCCUUUCGGGGGUACACGAGCGGCGAACGGGUGAGUAACACGUGAGCAAUCUGCCCUUCACUUCGGGAUAAGCCUCGGAAACGGGGUCUAAUACCGGAUAUGACUGCGCCAUGCAUGUGGUGUGGUGGAAAGUUCUGGCGGUGAGGGAUGAGCUCGCGGCCUAUCAGCUUGUUGGUGGGUAAUGGCCUACCAAGGCUUCGAC